GACGAACGCUGGCGGCGUGCCUAAUACAUGCAAGUAGAACGCACAGUUUAUACCGUAGCUUGCUACACCAUAGACUGUGAGUUGCGAACGGGUGAGUAACGCGUAGGUAACCUGCCUGGUAGCGGGGGAUAACUAUUGGAAACGAUAGCUAAUACCGCAUAAUAUUAAUUAUUGCAUGAUAAUUAAUUGAAAGGUGCAAUUGCACCACUACCAGAUGGACCUGCGUUGUAUUAGCUAGUAGGUGAGGUAACGGCUCACCUAGGCGACGAUACAUAGCCGACCUGGGAGGGUGAUCGGCCACACUGGGACUGAGACACGGCCCAGACUCCUACGGGAGGCAGCAGUAGGGAAUCUUCGGCAAUGGACGAAAGUCUGACCGAGCAACGCCGCGUGAGUGAAGAAGGUUUUCGGAUCGUAAAGCUCUGUUGUAAGAGAAGAACGGGUGUGAGAGUGGAAAGUUCACACUGUGACGGUAUCUGACCAGAAAGGGACGGCUAACUACGCG
rnacentral:rRNA from 1 species